rnacentral:lncRNA from 1 species
CAUUCCAGGUUGACUCCACCAGCGAGAAUCACAGAUGAGGAAGCUGAGGUUAAAGUCACUUGCCCCAGGUCACUCCGCAAGUUGAAGCGCAACCAGGAUACUCUGGAACAGGAUGCCUGACUUCAGAGGAGAGGCGCGUAACCACCAGGCAACUGGCCCCACGAAAACAAGUCCCGCAACUUCCCUUCUUUGGCUCCUACUUGCUCCCGGAAGAAAAGCCUUAAACGGUAUUCAAGCCCUUUAGGAUCUGAUGUCCUAGGACUCCACUCUGGGCUUCCAGCCUGGGGUGGUACUGGUCCCUAGGCAUGGAAGCUCCUCCCACUGCCCCUUCCUUCACCCGGCCACCUCCUCCCACAGGUGUCUUCCUGGUACUCUUGCACAGGCCCGAGUCCCUUACCACCACGGCCUUAGCCUGCUCUCGUGCUCUCAGUAAUGUUUUCUCCAUUUGCUGCCUUUCAUUCUUUCCAGAGAUUCUUGCUCAACCCAACCAGGCCAGCCCGGGGACUAGGGACAUGUAGGGACAAUAGUCCCUGCUUCAGGCAGUUCAGGGCAGACCACAGAGAUGUGACAUUACAGACCAUUGUGAGCAGAGGCCUUGUCCCAUUCUGUGUUGCAUCCCUAAGCCAGGAACAAAGUCCAGCCCAGGCCUGGCUCCAGGGGACACGCAGUAGUAUCCUCUGGCCUGUGCAAGUGUAUCUGUAGCCUCACAUGCCACCAUGUGAGUCUGCAAUCUGUCUGUGAAUGCCCUGGUGUAGAAGCCAGGAGUUUGGAGGUGGGAGGGAGCCCUACAGAAUGAUAGCCAGUGCUAACUCCUGGGAAUGUCCAGCCACUAAGACCUGCCCACAGCCCUGCCAUGCCAAUGUCCUCCUUUUCACGGGAGCAGCUUGCACAGACUUUCAGCGCACAGCUGGCAUUGUCUUCCCAGGAGCCAUCCUGUAACCCAGGCCAGGUGAAGGGCUCCUCCCUGGGACCCCACAGCCCCGUUCCCAUCAUCCUUUUGUGGUGAUCAAGGCACCCAUCACACAGUAUUGCCAUAAACCGGGUCAGGUUAACCUUUCAUUCCCUUAGGAGCUGGGUGGGGGCAGCCAAAAGUAUUUGUAGGAGGAAGAGAGAAAGGAGGGGACAGAGCUAGGAAGAAUGGGAGGACGGUCAGAACGCCCCUGUGAAGGAAGGAGAGCACCAAGUCCCCGUGUUCUGCCUACCCUCCCCCAGACAGCAGAUCAGGAGCACCCCGCGCGCCCCCCC